rnacentral:lncRNA from 1 species
UAAUAUCCCCAAAGCAGCAUUUAUUUACCCACUGAAUUCCAAAACAUUUAAUUUAGAAGUCUGGCAUUUCAUAAUCACCCAUCUUGAUUGACGUGGGCUGACACACACGGUGCUGUCAGGAUACACAAGGACAAUAGCCAAAAAGUUACAAAAAAUAAAUCCAUGAUUCUUAAACCAUCGCAACCAAAAAAAGAAAAAGUUACAGGUAUCAAAACUUUAGAUGCAUUGCAUUGAAAAGAAGUUUGUUAGAAAGCUGACGGAAAGGAGCAAGUGGCCUCUUUGUGUCAGCUUCCCUUAACAGUUUCCCAUUAGCUGAAGAAAGGGGUGGGAGGGGUGAAUUCAUUUUUGCAUGCACAAGAUGUACUGCUUAACAAAACACUAUCAGCUUGUUUUAAAUGGAUCAUUUAAAUAUCAAUUGUAGCCUGUGUUGGCUAAUUCUCCUUUCUAAACUUCCCCAUUGCUCUCUCCUGGAUUUCACAUAGAUCAACAGGCAUCAAAAUGCCUCAUUCAGAACGCACUUGUCUGCACAUUCGAAAAGGGAGCUCCUGUGGGCUCAAAGCAACCAUCAUUCCAGCAAUGCCCAUGAAGAUUUAUCUGAAACUGCUUCCCAAGGGGCAGGAGAGCAGAUCUGAGUAGCUGUGCUGCCAAUACAGAUAGGUUUAGCACUAGAUAUUUAGUGAUUGUGGCAAGGAAGAAUUGGUGAUGAUGGGGGUGGUGGGUGAAGGAAGGGCCAGGGACCUGAAGGCUCUUCAGUUGCCUUCUCCUGCUUCUUCAUCCUGCUGGUCGCUCGUCCAGAGGGUGAGGUUGUCUCGCAGCAACUGCAUGAUGAGCGUGGAGUCCUUAUAGGAAUCCUCGUUUAGUGUGUCCAGCUCAGCUAUGGCAUCAUCGAAGGCUUGUUUGGCUAAGAGGCAGGCCUGCUCAGGCGCAUUCUGGAUCUCAUAGUAGAACACGGAGAAGUUGAGGGCCAGGCCCAGCCGAAUGGGGUGCGUUGGCUGCAUGUGCUCUUUGCUGAUUUCAAAGGCUUCUUUGUAGGCAGCCUCAGAAGCUUCGACCACACUGUUUUUCUUCUCCCCGGAAGCUACCUCUGCCAAGUAGCGGUAGUAAUCGCCUUUCAUUUUCAGGUAAAAUACCUUGCUCUCAUACUGAAAAUCAUUGCAGUUCUUGAUGAGGAACUUGUCAAGCAGAGCCAGGACAUCAUUGCACACUGUUUCCAGCUCCUUCUCAAUCUUCUCCCGGUAAGCUUUAACUUUCUCCAAUUUCUUUUCAUUUCCAUCAGCCAUGGUCUUCUGCUCAAUGCUGCUGAUGACCCUCCAGGAAGAUCGCCUGGCACCAACCACAUUCUUGUAGGCCACAGAGAGGAGGUUUCGAUCUUCAUUGGAGAGAGGUUCAUUGAGCUCCGUCACCUGCAAAAUCCCAA